rnacentral:piRNA from 1 species
UCCAUCCAAGCAUGGACAGGAAAACGGGA